UCAAGCUUAGGACCACCCACCAUGCCCAUCCAGGUGCUGAAGGGUCUGACCAUCACUCGGUAAGAACAGAGGAGACUGCCUGUUACUCGUGAUGGUGAGAAGGCGGAUGUAGACAGGCGUGGCUGCAGCCAUGGGUAGGAAAGUGCUGGCACCCACCCACCUGGGCCGGAGCUGGUUCUGCUCCUGCUACAGGGACACUGAGCUGGCUAUCUCGGCACUUCGGGCAAGAACUGCAACAGGCUCUCCUGGGUCCUGCAGGUGUACAGCCGGGCCCCUGCCUUGUGCCUCAGCUCUGGAGAGCUGCUGCUGCUGGGUGACCUGAUCCAACCUGACAAGGUGCCAUCUUCAGCUACCACUGCAAGGCCCUGAGGGCAACAGCACCACAGCACUGCCCACCCGGCUGCUGAUGGCCUGGUGCCAGCUGGGAGUCCUCCCGCCACUUGGAGGCCACUGAGCCGCCCUUCCAGCCUCGGCCCACCAUGGACAGGGGUAUCCAGCUUCCUCCUCAACCUCGUCCUCUGCCCCUGAGCCAGUGACGCCCAAGGACAUGUCUGUUACCUGGCUCCUGUACCAGCGUGAGCUGGUCAAGGGCAUGACAGUGCUGGAGGCCGUCCUGGAGAUCCAGGCCAUCACUGACAGCAGGCUGCUCUCCAUGGUGCCAGGGCCCGCCAGGCCACCAGGCUCAUGCUGGGACCCAACCCAGUGC
rnacentral:sRNA from 1 species